rnacentral:tRNA from 1 species
CAAUAAAUAACUUAAGUAAAAAAGUAAUGAUCUUUUAAAUCAUUUAUAAUAAAAUAUUAUUUUUAUUGU